GGCCUCAUAGCUCAGUUGGCUAGAGCGUUCGCUGUUCUAAAGCCUUCCCCUUGCUGGCGUGGGUUCGAAUCCCACCGAGGCCG
rfam:Schistocephalus solidus strain NST_G2 genome assembly, scaffold: SSLN_contig0005708